rnacentral:ncRNA from 1 species
AUAGCUCGUUGGGGGAGCCCGGGGUAACGGGCUGAGAGGAAGGCUUAUCAAUCCCGCCUUCGACUCCUAACACCUGAACUGGGUAAUACCAGCGUAGGGAAACGAGUUUUACUAACU